AUUGAACGCUGGCGGCAUGCCUUACACAUGCAAGUCGAACGGCAGCACGGGUGCUUGCACCUGGUGGCGAGUGGCGAACGGGUGGGUAAUACAUCGGAACAUGUCCUGUAGUGGGGGAUAGCCCGGCGAAAGCCGGAUUAAUACCGCAUACGAUCUACGGAUGAAAGCGGGGGACCUUCGGGCCUCGCGCUAUAGGGUUGGCCGAUGGCUGAUUAGCUAGUUGGUGGGGUAAAGGCCUACCAAGGCGACGAUCAGUAGCUGGUCUGAGAGGACGACCAGCCACACUGGGACUGAGACACGGCCCAGACUCCUACGGGAGGCAGCAGUGGGGAAUUUUGGACAAUGGGCGAAAGCCUGAUCCAGCAAUGCCGCGUGUGUGAAGAAGGCCUUCGGGUUGUAAAGCACUUUUGUCCGGAAAGAAAUCCUUGGCUCUAAUACAGCCGGGGGAUGACGGUACCGGAAGAAUAAGCACCGGCUAACUACGUG
rnacentral:rRNA from 1 species